AUUGAACGCUGGCGGCAGGCCUAACACCUGCAAGUCGAGCGGAGCGGCGGACGGGUGAGUAAUGCCUAGGAAUCUGCCUGGUAGUGGGGGAUAACGACCGGAAACGUGCGCUAAUACCGCAUCCUAUCAGAUGAGCCUAGGUCGGAUUAGCUAGUUGGUGGGGUAAAGGCCUACCAAGGCGACGAUCCGGAACUGGUCAGAGAGGAUGAUCAGUCACACUAGAAAUGAGACACAGUCCAGGCUACUACGUGAGGCAGCAGUGGGGAAUAUGUGACAAUGGGCGAAAGCCUGAUCCAGCCAUGCCGCGUGUGUGAAGAAGGUCUUCGGAUUGUAAAGCACUUUAAGUUGGGAGGCGUUACCAACAGAAUAAGCACCGGCUAACUUCGUGCCAGCCGCCGCGGUAAUAC
rnacentral:rRNA from 1 species